GGUGAACCUGCGGAAGGAUCAUUACCGAUGUGAAAGAAUCCAAGGUUAAACAUCAUUAACCAGUGUGAACUGUGAAACAACUCUUUAGGGGUCGGCACAGGCGUGUGUCGUUAAAUGGCGGAUAGGUUCCUUCCGCCAGCCCCGCCAUUGUGUUUAUGAUAUCACUUUGAACGUUAAAGACUGAGAACGUAUGUAUCACGCAUUAAAUGUAUGAGAAAGAAGGGAAGAAAAAUGAGAGACAACUUUUGACGAUGGAUCUCUUGGCUCACGUAUCGAUGAAGAACGCAGCCAGCUGCGAUAUGUAGUGUGAAUUGCAGAAUUCAGUGAAUCAUUGAAUCUUUGAACGCAAAUGGCGCUCUUGGGUUCUCCCAGGAGCAUGUCUGUCUGAGUGUCGGAUUUUAUCGAACGCACUCGUGAGUGCGGUAUUGAGGUGUCACGGCGUGUUAGCAUUAAAUCGCCGUGUCCCUUGAAGGACAGCAGCAUUGGACUCGCAUUCUCUAUUGAAACUUGAGUGCGAAGGCUAAAGAUAAUAUUUUCCUUCGCCCAAACAUGCAAUAGCAGAAACAAAAUCCAAUCAAAGCGGUGACAGACAAUGACAACAUCAAAUCUUGACCUCAGAUCAGGCAAGGCUACCCGCUGA
rnacentral:sRNA from 1 species